rnacentral:misc_RNA from 1 species
AAAGCUAUGGCAAAAUAUGGAAGUUUCAAUCACAGCUCUCUCUUCGACAACCUAUAUUACUUUCCACUAUGUUGUUUUGGAGAUUUCUGGUUCAGCUGAUCAUGGUCACCACCAGAGAUUUCGAGGAAACAUACGCCACGCAAAGUGAUUUCUGAAGAGGAAUUGAUGGGUCUGAUUCAGAGAAGAUGGCAAUCAAGGCUCAGAGCAUUCAGGAAUUUAGGAGAUUGGGGUUUCUGUGAUGGUGGGAGGAGAUUCUCUUGUAAGGAGAUGGGAGGACCUUGAUAAUGAUAUAUUGGUCUUCCAUCCCAAUUUGUAUGUUCACGACAAUCAGUUAACUUUUGCUGCCAAGAGGUAUUCCCCCAAUAAACUUUCAUCUUUCUACAGCAUUAUAAUUAUAACUUAAUCAAGAAACCGUACAGCAAGCACGUUUUAGAGAUAUUCAGAUCCCUAUGAUCCAUUAUUCUUUGAGAAACAAAAAUUACUGUGAAAAUGAACAAGACAGCUAAUUAGAUCUCCUCUUUUCAGGUGUCCACGGCAUGCCUUCUUGGAACAAAAAUAAAAAAGCAAGCAAUAUGCAGGGCAUUCGUCUAUGGAAAGAUCUUGAAUCACUAACAAUGCCUAGUAUAUAAAAUCCUGCACAUGUCAUCGAGGAAAUUGCAAGGAGUUGCCAAAUAAAUUUGAG